rnacentral:sRNA from 1 species
UGGUCGACCAACACGAAUCCUAGGCCGC